GUGCUUGCUUCGGCAGCACAUAUACUAAAAUUGGAACGAUGCAGAGAUUAGCAUGGCCCCUGCGCAAGGAUGAAAACAAGGUAUUUUGAUUUUACACAGUAAU